UACAGAGGUCUCGAGCGUUGUUCGGAUUCAUUGGGCGUAAAGGGUGCGUAGGUGGCGGGGUAAGUCAGGUGUGAAAUCUCGAGGCUCAACCUCGAAACUGCACUUGAUACUGCCUUGCUCGAGUACUGGAGAGGAGAUUGGAAUUUACGGUGUAGCAGUGAAAUGCGUAGAUAUCGUAAGGAAGACCAGUGGCGAAGGCGAAUCUCUGGACAGUUACUGACACUGAGGCACGAAGGCCAGGGGAGCAAACGGG
rnacentral:rRNA from 1 species